CCUACGGGAGGCUGCAGUGGGGAAUAUUGCACAAUGGGGGCAACCCUGAUGCAGUGACGCCGCGUGAGGGAAGAAGUAUUUCGGGAUGUAAAGUUCUAUCAGCAGGGAAGAAAUAGCGACCUUUGGGUCGCCAGACGGUACCUGACUAAGACGCCCCGGCUAACUACGUGACAGCAGCCGCGGUAAUACGUAGGGGGCAAGCGUUAUCCGGAUUUACUGGGGGUAAAGGGAGUGUAGACGGGAGCACAAGUAUGAAGUGAAAUGUCGGGGCUUAACCCCGGAACUGCUUUGGAAACUGUGCAGCUAGAGUGCUGGAGAGGGAAGUGGAAUUCCUAGUGUAGCGGUGAAAUGCGUAGAUAUUAGGAGGAACACCAGUGGCGAAGGCGGCUUACUGGACUGUAACUGACGUUGAGGCUCGAAAGCGUGGGGAGCAAACAGGAUUAGAUACCCUUGUAGUC
rnacentral:rRNA from 1 species